UACGGAGGGUGCAAGCGUUAUCCGGAUUCACUGGGUUUAAAGGGUGCGUAGGUGGGCAGGUAAGUCAGUGGUGAAAUCUCCGGGCUUAACCCGGAAACUGCCAUUGAUACUAUCUGUCUUGGAUACCGUGGAGGUGAGCGGAAUAUGUCAUGUAGCGGUGAAAUGCUUAGAUAUGACAUAGAACACCAAUUGCGAAGGCAGCUCACUACACGAAUAUUGACACUGAGGCACGAAAGCGUGGGGAUCAAACAGGA
rnacentral:rRNA from 1 species